AAGAAUCUUGAUACAAGAGCUUCCUUGAAGGCGAUUGAGCCCAUCUGUGAUCGGAUCAAGAAACUGCAUAUAGAUUGCGUGUGGUCUGGUUCAGAGGAGGGGGGAGGAGAAAGGGUGGAAACAAGCGAGACUAACCACGAGGAAGAUGAUGAUGAUGAUGAUGAUGAUGAUUACGAGAGGAGCCAGAAGAGGUGCAAGUAUUCAUCUGAGGAAGAACACUGCUCACUGUUUCCAAACAGUGAUGGGAAUGGGUUCUGUUCUGAAGACAGAGUGUGGGAGAAACUUGAGUAUCUGUCUUUAUGGAUCAGUGUUGGAGAAUUUCUGACACCAUUACCUAUGACAGGACUAGAUGACUGUCCGAAUUUGGAAGAGAUUAGGAUCAAGAUAGAAGGAGAUUGCAGGGGUAAGCGUAAGCCAGCUGAGCCGGAGCUCGGGUUAAGCUGUCUUGCUCUGUAUCCAAAGCUCUCAAAGAUGCAAUUAGAUUGCGGGGACACGAUCGGCUACGCACUGACCGCACCGCCGAUGCAGAUGGAUCUGAGCUUGUGGGAGAGGUUUUUCUUGACUGGAAUUGGGAACUUGAGCUUGAGCGAGCUGGAUUAUUGGCCAGCACAGGACAGAGAUGUUAACCAGAGGAGUCUUUCGCUUCCUGGUGCAGGUCUGUUACAAGAGUGCUUGACUCUGAGGAAGCUUUUUAUCCAUGGAACGGCUCAUGAGCAUUUCAUGAAUUUUUUGUUGAGGAUACCGAACUUAAGGGACGUGCAGCUAAGAGAAGACUAUUAUCCAGCGCCUGAGAACGAUAUGAGCACAGAGAUGAGAGUUGGUUCUUGUAGUCGAUUCGAAGACCAGUUGAACAGCCGCAACAUCAUUGACUGAAAUUUAGCAGGGAGUUUUCUCCAUAGUAAUAUAUAUAUAUAUAUAUAUAUCUUUUAUAGUUUACUUAAAUGCUAUAUAUGUUUGUAAAAGGAAAGAGCAAAGAUAUAAUGUAUAUUUGCAACAAUAUGGUCAAUGGUUUCAGAAGAGAGAAAACCCCAAAUUGCACGAAUAAUAAUAUAUAGCAGUUUAUUUUUUUUGGUUCUAUUCUCUCGAGACUCCACAUUUUUUUUUGUUUUCAGUUGCGUAGCCCCGGUUCCGACAUAUCGUCUAAAAACAAAUAUCCAGGUCCCAGCCAUGAAAUAUUCAUAUUGGAAGUAGAAACUCCGAUAGAUUGAAAUUGUUAACUUGUUUUUUAAAACAGAAAAACAAAAAAAGAAAACAAAGUUUGUUCAACAUACCAGUGCUCUGAAAUAAAAUGUAAAACAGAAACUGAUAAAAAGACAAGCAUCAGAGUUGUUCAACAGGUCUUGUCUAAUUAGGAUCUCAUCCUUUUAACUUCAGAGCUGAUUGAGUUGCGUAAGUCGCACUCCUUGGACCAGAGCUGAGAUUGUCGGAUCCGGAGCAGGGUCUUCUUGUGUUGCAACAUCACGAGGAAGUUGAAUGAAUUCCAUGGAAUCCGGAAUAAACUUAAAGUCGAGGAGCUUGUUUGAGCAUCUCUCAAACUCAGACUCAAUUCCAAGACGAGAUUUGUACAAGUAAUCUGCAGUAGCACUCGAAUCACAAAUAGCAACUGCAUGAUAGCCCCUGGAAACAGGAAGAAGAGAGCAAUGGAUCAUCAGUUUCAGUAAGUAAUAAUAAUACUAGAGAGAGACCAAAAAUUUAAACGAAAAAGCAGAGGUUUUUACUCGACGACAUCAUCUCCUGGAUAGACAGCCACAGACAAAAUGCGUCCACCUUCCGACAGAAACGGAUUCAAAAACAACAACAAGUCUUUCGCCUACACAAGUUGUAACAAACCAUAAAAGGAUAUCAGAAAUGCCAUAAAGAACCAUCAUUGAAUGAGAGUAAACUUACCGAGACACGACUCCAAUCCAUGAUAGUGAUAGACAGUUUGUGAGUUUCUUCCGGUCCAUUAAUAGACUCUUGAUCCAUACUCUCAAUCUCGCGCUGUGUGAAAAGUUAUUUUAUUAUCUCUCUCAGACCAAAACUAGUAUGAUACAUACAAUGGCAUCUGAUAUCAACUCACCGGAAUAAUUGUUGGAAUUGGAAUUGUAAUCGGUCUUGGAUUUUCACGGCAACGAUUAAAAAACUUUUGAAAAUUUUCAUCACGCCUAUCCUGAAAAUCGAAUGGAGGUGUCUAAGAUUUAUUAUUAAUUUCACAAACAAAAACUAGAAUGAAUGAUAACUAACCGGUAUAUGUGGUAUAGGUCCCCAUUUUCUCUGGAUCCGAGGGUCGAGUUCGAGUUCGACAUCAUCGAAGUCGAAGUCGCAAUCAUUUGACUGAUUCUCACUUGGUCGUGGAUUUUCACGGCAACGAUUAAAAAACUUUUGAAAAUUUUCAUCACGCCUGUCCUGAAAAUCGAAUCGAGGGUCUCUAAGAUUUAUUAUUAAUUUCACAAACAAAAUCUAGAAUGAAUGAUAACUCACCGGAAUAUGUGGUAUAGGUCCCCAUUUUCUCCGGAUCCGAGGGUCAGGUUCGGUCUCGCAAUCAUUUGACUGAUUCUCACUUGGUCGAUUUCCAGAAAAUCGAUUCGAUUCUGACGUUGCCAUGAUCCGCUUUUUAGGGUUUUGAUAAGAUAAGAAUCGGGAGGGAAUAGUUAUUAUAUAUCCUUACAUUUUAUAUAUAUUAUAUAUCCUUACAUUUUUCAGAAAUGUCUAAAAGGCUAUUAUAAUUACAGAGAUUGCCAUUAUACGUAUCUUUAUAAAUCCUAUUACUAAAAAAAUUCCUUCUUUCCGUGUGGGUUCGAUCAAUUGCUUAAAUGCCACCAAUCUAUAUCUAUAUACUUAAUGAUUACUCUCCUGAGGAAGACUCUGACUGAUGUUAGAAUAUCCUGCUGCAAGAAUCUUGAUACAAGAGCUUCCUUGAAGGCGAUUGAGCCCGAUCGGAUCAAGAAACUGCAUACAGAUUGCGUGUGGUCUGGUUCAGGGGAGGGAAGAGGAGAAAGGGUGGAAACAAGCGAGACUAACCACGAGGAUGAUGAUGAUGAUGAUGAUGAUUACGAGAGGAGCCAGAAGAGGUGCAAGUAUUCAUCUGAGGAAGAACACUGCUCAUUGUUUCCAAGCAGUGAUGGGAAUGGGUUCUGUUCUGAAGAUACAGUGUGGGAGAAACUUGAGUAUCUAUCUUUAUGGAAAUGAACUGCUAUAUAUGUUUGUAAAAAGG
rnacentral:lncRNA from 1 species